UACGUAGGGGGCUAGCGUUGCUCGGAAUCAUUGGGCGUAAAGCGCACGUAGGCGGAUUGUUAAGUCAGGGGUGAAAGCCUGGAGCUCAACUCCAGAACUGCCCUUGAUACUGGCAAUCUCGAGUCCGGAAGAGGUAAGUGGAACUCCGAGUGUAGAGGUGAAAUUCGUAGAUAUUCGGAAGAACACCAGUGGCGAAGGCGGCUUACUGGUCCGGUACUGACGCUGAGGUGCGAAAGCGUGGGGAGCAAACAGG
rnacentral:rRNA from 1 species